rnacentral:rRNA from 1 species
CUACGGGUCGCAGCAGUCGAGAAUAGUCUACAAUGGACGAAAGUCUGAUAGUGCGACGCCGCGUGGAUGAAGAAGCAUUUCGGUGUGUAAAGUCCUUUUCUGUGUGAGCAAUGUUUUCCAGGUUAAUAGCUUGGAGAAAGCGAUAUUAACACAGGAAUAAGCUCCGGCUAACUCCGUGCCAGCAGCCGCGGUAACACGGGGGGAGCAAGCGUUGUCCGGAAUUACUAGGCGUAAAGGGUAAGUAGGCGGAAUUGUAAGUCAGAUGUUAAAGGCACCGGCUCAACCGGUGUAUGGCAUUUGAUACUGUAAUUCUAGAGUAAGGUGGGGGAAGACGGAAUUCCUGGUGUAGCGGUGGAAUGCGCAGAUAUCAGGAGGAACACCAGAGGCGCAGGCGGUCUUCUAUACCAUUACUGACGCUCAAUUACGAAGGUGUGGGUAUCAAACAGGAUUAGAUACCCUUGUAGUC